rnacentral:rRNA from 1 species
UGGUCAAGUUAUUAAGGGUGCAGGGCGGAUGCCUUGGCACUAGGAGCCGAUGAAGGACGUGAUAAGCUGCGAUAAGCUUCGGGGAGUUGCACGUAAACUUUGAUCCGAAGAUUUCCGAAUGAGGAAACUCACUUAGAGUAAUGUCUAAGUAUCAUUAAGUGAAUACAUAGCUUAAUGAGGGGAACUCAGGGAACUGAAACAUCUAAGUACCUGAAGGAAGAGAAAGAAAUUCGAUUCCGUAAGUAGCGGCGAGCGAACGCGGAUUAGCCCAAACCAAUAAAGUUUUCUUUAUUGGGGUUGAGGACAUACCACAUAUAAGAGGUCAUUAUAGACGAAGAAGUUUGGAAAAACUCAUCAUAGAAGGUAAUAAUCCUGUAGUCAAAAUAAUAAUUCUUUAGGUAUGAUCCAGAGUACCACGGGACACGUGAAACCCUGUGGGAAGCAGGAGGGACCACCCUCCAAGGCUAAAUACUACCUAGUGACCGAUAGCGUAUAGUACCGUGAGGGAAAGGUGAAAAGAACCCCGGGAGGGGAGUGAAAUAGAACCUGAAACCCUGCACUUACAAGCUGUGGAAGCACAUUUCUUGUGUGACCGCGUACUUUUUGUAGAACGGGCCAACGAGUUACGUUAAGUAGCAAGGUUAAGCACUUAAGGUGCGGAGCCGUAGCGAAAGCGAGUUUUAACUGAGCGUUCAGUUACUUGACGUAGACCCGAAACCGGGCGACCUACCCAUGAGCAGGAUGAAGCGAAAGUAAAAUUUCGUGGAGGUCCGAACCCACGAGCGUUGAAAAGCUCGGGGAUGACUUGUGGGUAGCGGUGAAAUUCCAAUCGAGCCCGGAGAUAGCUGGUUCUCCCCGAAAUAGCUUUAGGGCUAGCCUCAAGGUGAGAGAUACGGAGGUAGAGCACUGAAUGUCCUAGGGGG